rnacentral:rRNA from 1 species
AGAGUUUGAUCCUGGCUCAGAACGAACGCUGGCGGCGUGGAUAAGACAUGCAAGUCGGACGCUAAUCAGGGGUUAGCAAUAAUCCCAGGUUGGAGUGGCGCAAGGGUGCGUAACACGUGGGUAAUCUGCCGUGAAGUUUGGGAUAACUCGCUGAAAGGCGAGCUAAUACCGGAUGUGACUGUUGGGAAGCAUUUUCUGACAUUCAAAGCUGGGGACCGUAACAGGCCUGGCGCUUCAUGAUGAGCCCGCGGCCUAUCAGCUAGUUGGUGAGGUAACGGCUCACCAAGGCUAAGACGGGUAGCUGGUCUGAGAGGACGACCAGCCACACUGGAACUGAGACACGGUCAGACACCUACGGGUGGCAGCAGUCGAGAGUUUUUCACAAUGGGCGCAAGCCUGAUGGAGCGACGCCGCGUGGGGGAUGAAGGGUUUCGAUCCGUAAACCCCUGUCAUUUGCGAACAAACCUUGUGCAAUAACACUGCACGAGCUGAUUGUAGUGAAAGAGGAAGGGACGGCUAACUCUGUGCCAGCAGCCGCGGUAAUACAGAGGUCCCAAGCGUUGUUCGGAUUCACUGGGCGUAAAGGGUGCGUAGGUGGCCAGGUAAGUUUGGUGUGAAAGCUCGGAGCUUAACUCCGAAAAGUCAUUGAAUACUAUCUGGCUGGAGGGUCGGAGGGGAGACUGGAAUUCUCGGUGUAGCAGUGAAAUGCGUAGAUAUCGAGAGGAACACCAGUGGUGAAGGCGAGUCUCUGGACGACUCCUGACACUGAGGCACGAAAGCUAGGGGAGCAAACAGGAUUAGAUAC